CAGUACCGUGAGGGAAAGGCGAAAAGAACCCCGGCGAGGGGAGUGAAAAAGAACCUGAAACCGUGUACGUACAAGCAGUGGGAGCACGCUUAGGCGUGUGACUGCGUACCUUUUGUAUAAUGGGUCAGCGACUUAUAUUCUGUAGCAAGGUUAACCGAAUAGGGGAGCCGAAGGGAAACCGAGUCUUAACUGGGCGUUAAGUUGCAGGGUAUAGACCCGAAACCCGGUGAUCUAGCCAUGGGCAGGUUGAAGGUUGGGUAACACUAACUGGAGGACCGAACCGACUAAUGUUGAAAAAUUAGCGGAUGACUUGUGGCUGGGGGUGAAAGGCCAAUCAAACCGGGAGAUAGCUGGUUCUCCCCGAAAGCUAUUUAGGUAGCGCCUCGUGAAUUCAUCUCCGGGGGUAGAGCACUGUUUCGGCAAGGGGGUCAUCCCGACUUACCAACCCGAUGCAAACUGCGAAUACCGGAGAAUGUUAUCACGGGAGACACACGGCGGGUGCUAACGUCCGUCGUGAAGAGGGAAACAACCCAGACCGCCAGCUAAGGUCCCAAAGUCAUGGUUAAGUGGGAAACGAUGUGGGAAGGCCCAGACAGCCAGGAUGUUGGCUUAGAAGCAGCCAUCAUUUAAAGAAAGCGUAAUAGCUCACUGGUCGAGUCGGCCUGCGCGGAAGAUGUAACGGGGCUAAACCAUGCACCGAAGCUGCGGCAGCGACGCUGAUGCGUUGUUGGGUAGGGGAGCGUUCUGUAAGCCUG
rnacentral:rRNA from 1 species